rnacentral:lncRNA from 1 species
UUUGCCCUCUAACCUAUGAACCCACUAACUCCCCACCCACCUCUCUCUUUUUGUUUUGUUUUGCUUUGUUUUCAAGAUAGGGUUUCUCUGUGUAAUCCUGGCUGUCCUGGAAAUCACUCUAUAGACCAGGCUGGCCUUGGACUCAGAAAUCCGCCUGCCUCUGCUUCCUGAGUGCUGUGAUGAAAGGUGUGCAUCAUCCCUUCCCGGUUAACCUCACUCACUUGUUGAGGUGGCCUCUCUAUUCCCUCCGGCACCUUUCAGGAACUCUGAUUACGUUACCAGUUGCUCCUUUACCGGGUAGGGAGGCAGGGUAUGACCAUUUGCCGCAGAGAAGGAAAGCCUGACAGAGGAGUCCGGUGUGUGAAGCUGACUCCCAGGCGCCUCUUUCCUAGGGUUAGGUGAAGGCGAAGAUGAGAUUGGGUGGCAGAUGGAUGGUAAAGAGCAAAAGCAGCAGAGAGAAGACUAGGAGCUUAGAUAAGCCCAGGGACGGGGAGAGGUGGACAAAGAAGUGUGGGAAGUGGGGAAAUGAUGAGACGCAUUAGAACAAAGUAGAGGGCCAAAGAGAUGUAGGGGCAUACAGCUCCUGGCCACUUGGAAAGGGACCUAGGCAAGGCAAGGUCCCUUUAUUGUGAGACGGAGUUUGAGCUGUAAGUGCAGGUGUGGGGGGUAAUGGAAUAGGUCCCUUGUUUAAAUGGUUUACUUCUUAUGGCUGCCUUCCUCCAUUCCAGAGGGCACAUGCAUAUUUAAAUACUUAUUUGACUUGAGGUUAAAGCUGUGUACGGUUGGGUCCCUGGGUGAAACAGGACUAUAGUGACCUCUGCUGGCACUAGGCCCUGGUGCUGACCCCUCCCUGCCCUUCCUUCCAGCGGGCUGAGGUAGGAUUGCUGGGGGGUCUCUGGCUGGAGCCAAGGACAGAGCUUGCAGGCUAAAUUGUGGGUCACCUGGCAUGCUGCUUCCUCUAGCUCUCCAAAUCCCUGUUGUGAGGAAGAGAGUGUCCUGUUCCUGUUUCACCUUUGGUCUCUCCUCAGGAUGCUGUGAUCACAUACUAUGAAGAUUCAAGGGGAUGGUUAAUUCCAGUGAUUUGAAUUUAAUGCGAUGCUAUGCAACUUACAGAAAGCAUGAAGCUGAUUUGUAUGCACAGACGUGGGAGAAGUAUCGGGGACAAAUGGAGUGACAGAAGCGAGCUGCUGCACCGCAUGUCUAAUAGGAUGCAGCGCGUGCGCAUGCGUGUGCCGGAGGCCAGGCUGGGGGAGCUUGUCCGCGGAGCUCUGGAGACAAGAAUGCCUUGGGGUGGGAAAGCUGUUUGGAAUUUUUAAAAAAAUGUACUCUCCGUAUCAUUUUUC